GACGAAUGCUGGCGGCGUGCCUAAUACAUGCAAGUCGAACGCUUUUUCUUUCAUCGGAGCUUGCUCCACCGAAAGAAAAAGAGUGGCGAACGGGUGAGUAACACGUGGGUAACCUGCCCAUCAGAAGGGGAUAACACUUGGAAACAGGUGCUAAUACCGUAUAACAUUAUUUUCCGCAUGGAAGAAAGUUGAAAGGCGCUUUUGCGUCACUGAUGGAUGGACCCGCGGUGCAUUAGCUAGUUGGUGAGGUAACGGCGCACCAAGGCAACGAUGCAUAGCCGACCUGAGAGGGUGAUCGGCCACACUGGGACUGAGACACGGCCCAGACUCCUACGGGAGGCAGCAGUAGGGAAUCUUCGGCAAUGGACGAAAGUCUGACCGAGCAACGCCGCGUGAGUGAAGAAGGUUUUCGGAUCGUAAAACUCUGUUGUUAGAGAAGAACAAGGAUGAGAGUAAAAUGUUCAUCCCUUGACGGUAUCUAACCAGAAAGCCACGGCUAACUACGUGCCAGCCGCCGCGGUAA
rnacentral:rRNA from 1 species